rnacentral:rRNA from 1 species
GAUGAACGCUGGCGGCGUGCCUAAUACAUGCAAGUCGAGCGAACAGACGAGGAGCUUGCUCCUUCGACGUUAGCGGCGGACGGGUGAGUAACACGUAGGUAACCUACCUAUAAGACUGGGAUAACUUCGGGAAACCGGAGCUAAUACCGGAUAAUAUUUCGAACCGCAUGGUUCGACAGUGAAAGAUGGCUUUGCUAUCACUUAUAGAUGGACCUGCGCCGUAUUAGCUAGUUGGUAAGGUAACGGCUUACCAAGGCAACGAUACGUAGCCGACCUGAGAGGGUGAUCAGCCACACUGGAACUGAGACACGGUCCAGACUCCUACGGGAGGCAGCAGUAGGGAAUCUUCCGCAAUGGGCGAAAGCCUGACGGAGCAACGCCGCGUGAGUGAUGAAGGUCUUCGGAUCGUAAAACUCUGUUAUUAGGGAAGAACAAACGUGUAAGUAACUGUGCACGUCUUGACGGUACCUAAUCAGAAAGCCACGGCUAACUACGUG